rnacentral:ncRNA from 1 species
ACGGUGCCUCUGGCUGAUAAACCAGAGGGUAAAAGGGAAACAGGUGAAAUUCCUGUACGAUCUCGUCACUGUAAUUGGGAAGUAAGGAGCAAUUGUGCAGCUGCACAGUCACUGACAACAUGUUGGGAAGGCUGUUUCUUGCAAGGAUCCUUCAGUCAGGAAACCUGCCGUUUAUU